AAAUGAAUAGACGGGGACCCGCACAACCGGUGGAGCGUGUGGUUCAAUUCGAGACAAAGCGAAAAACCUUACCAGGGCUUGACAUGCUAUCGUUUUAUACCUUUGGAAACUUAGGUAGAUCCGCAAGGAUGAUAGUGCAGGUGCUGCAUGGCUGUCGUCAGCUCGUGCCGUGAGGUGUUCCCUUAAGUGGGGAAACGAGCGCAACCCCCGCCUAAUGUUAAAUAUUCAUUAGGGACAGCCCUGAUUUUAUCAGGGAGGAAGGAGGGGAAGACGUCAAGUCAGCACGGCCCUUAUGCCCUGGGUUACACACACCCUACAAUGGCGAAUAACAACGUGUCGCAAGCUAGCAAUAGCAAGCUAAUCACUUAAAUUUCGCCUCAGUUCAGAUUGGAGUCUGCAACCCGACUCCAUGAAGUCGGAAUCGGUAGUAAUCGCGAAUCAGCAGGUCGCGGUGAAUACGUUCUCGGGUCUUGUACACACCGCCCGU
rnacentral:rRNA from 1 species